UCCCAGUGAAGCCAUCGACUGCGAGACUGAGACUCGCCACCGCCGUAUCCGCUUCUUCCAAAUCCGGGCCCCGACCCGACCCGAACUCUCAAGGAGGAAGAUAUGAGCAAGAAAGCGAACCCCUGUGUCUUCUUAGAUGUAUCCAUUAAUGAGGCCCCGACCGAAAGAAUUGUCAUCGAGCUUUUUGCGGAUGUUGCUCCUAAGACAGCAGAAAAUUUUAGGGCUCUCUGUACAGGUGAGAAGGGCAUUGGAAAGUCUACAGGCAAACCUCUCCACUACAAAGGAUCACAAUUUCAUCGAAUUAUAAAAGGAUUUAUGGCCCAAGGUGGUGAUUUUUCAGCUGGAAACGGAACUGGUGGAGAAAGUAUUUAUGGAGGAAAGUUUGCAGAUGAAGCGUUUAAAUUGAAGCAUGAUAAACUUGGCCUCUUGUCUAUGGCAAAUGCGGGCCCAAAUACAAAUGGGUCUCAGUUCUUUAUUAUCUUCAAUCCUACGCCACAUCUUGAUGGGAAACAUGUUGUUUUUGGAAAGGUUACGAAGGGUAUAGAUGUAGUUAAGAAAAUGGAGAAAGCUGGAACAGAUAGUGGAAAACCUUUACAACCAGUGAAAAUUGUAGACUGUGGUGAAGUUGAGAAUAUUAAAAUCCCCAUCACAACAGAGAAAGAGAAAGGGAAAAAGAGGAAAUCAGUGAAGAUUUCAUCAUCUGAGGAUAGAUCUGAUGAGGAAGUUAGAGGAAAGCGCAAAAAAUCUCUGAAGGAAAGAAGAAAGAGAACCAAGAAAUAUUCUUCCUCUGAUUCAGACAUGUCGGAUUCUUAUUCUUCAGAUUCAGAUUCAUCCGACUCAAGUUCACUUAGUGAUGAAAGGCGUAGGAAGAGAAAAUCUGUCAAAAGAGAUGAGCAUUACCGUUCAAAAAAAGAAGAGAUGGAAAGAAAGAGAGGAAGAAAAGCCGACAUGCCAAACAAUCAAGGCGCAAGUCAAAACGGAGGUUGGAAAGUUCAAGUGAUACUGAAAGUGAUAGUAGAAGCAGCGAAAGCAGUUCUGAUGAUGAUAAAGAUCGUCAUCGUGUUCCUUCUCGUAACGGCAAUUUAAAGAAUGCAGAAAAGAAACUUCCUGGAAAUCUUGAUGUGGGAAAGGAAUUCCCUCAGGGAGGGAAAAAAUCCAUUGAACAGAGGAACAAAGCUGGGGACAACUCAUCCCAGGAAGAACGUGAAUUUUCUCCAGAGAAGAAUGGUGUUCGUGUAACUAACGGGCAUAAUGCAGAAUCUAAAACUGCUAAUCAACAGUCAUACUCAGAUGACUCAAACAAGUCCAGCAGAAGUCAGUCUCACAGCGCAAGUCCUAAAAGGAUUACUGGCAGAAGUCCACCAAGGAAUUCUCUCGAGCAAAAUAGAGGAAGACCUUCUAGAAGUCCAUUGGGUAGCCCGGUCCGGAAAGCUCCUGAACCUUCUACUUCAAACCAUGAACGGGGUUUGUCAAGAAGCACAACUCCAAAUGGCACUCCCAAGCGCAUUAGGAAAGGACGUGGCUUCACUGAUCAGUAUGCCUUUGCACGUCGCUACCGUACUCCAUCUCCAGAACGUUCACGGGGUAACUCGUACCGUUAUGGUGGAAGAGACAUGUAUAGAAGUAACCGUGAUAGAUACUCAAGCUACCGAAAUCAUUCUCAGCGCUCACAACCUCGACGUGUCCAAAGCCCACCAAGAGGCAGGAGCCCUCCCAGAUCUCGAAGCCAGAGAAGUCGAAGUAGGAGCAUUUCUCGAAGCCCUGGUGGAUAUCGUGGCCAAUACAGGAAGCGCAGUCGCAGCCGUAGUCGUAGUCCAGUAGACCGGCCUCGUGUAAGUGACAGAUUAAAAUCCCGCCUUGGACCUCGUAUAAGUGAUCAGCACUCUCCAGACAGAGGUAGGGCUAAGUCCAGGUCGAGGAGCCGAGGGGUAUCUCAUUCUAGAUCUCCAGUUGGUACACCCAAGCGUCGUAACAAGACUUCUAGGUCUCCCAGUGAGUCAAGAUCAAGCUCUCCAGCUGAAAAAAGGGGGUUGGUCUCAUAUGACGAUAUAAGUCCAUGAGAAGAGAAGCAAAUGGUAUAUUGAGUUUAUGCAUCUGUACACAAUGGAUGUAGGUAUCUCAUUGGACUUGCUUUUGCAUGUGCCAUAGAAUGUGAAUGUAAUGGAGGUCCUCAUUUCAGAGGAUGUUGCGGGCUUUCUUUUUUCAUCUAAUAGUACUCAGACUCGCAUCAGAGUUUAGGGCAAAGGAACAGCCUAUGUUUGAUGAUGUAAAAUUCUUUUUUCCUUUUUCUUUUCCUUAAUUGCUGAAAUUGAAGAUGCAUCGGAUUUCCCA